rnacentral:rRNA from 1 species
AGCAGUAGCCGCGGUAAGACAGAGGAUGCAAGCGUUAUCCGGAAUGAUUGGGCGUAAAGCGUCUGUAGGUGGUUUGUUAAGUUGGAUGUGAAAGCCCCGGGCUCAACCUGGGAACUGCAUCCAAAACUGGCAAGCUAGAGUACGGUAGAGGGUGGUGGAAUUUCCUGUGUAGCGGUGAAAUGCGUAGAUAUAGGAAGGAACACCAGUGGCGAAGGCGACCACCUGGACUGAUACUGACACUGAGGUGCGAAAGCGUGGGGAGCAAACAGGAUUAGAUACCCGAGUAGUCCCUGUCUCUUAUAC